CUGGAGGACUAAGAAAGUAGAACCAGUGAAGUCAGUUGGCUCUACUGAUACUAUCCUCCUAAAUUAAGUGGCAGAAGAACAAGGUCUUGCCUAUGAGACUUAUCCAGAUCUUACUGCUGUUGGCCAACAAUG
ensembl:scaRNA small Cajal body-specific RNA 15